CCGGUUGAUCCUGCCGGAGGCUACUGCUAUUGGAAUUCGACUAAGCCAUGCGAGUCAAGGUGUCUUCGGACGCCGGCAUACGGCUCAGUAACACGUAGGUAACCUACCCUCAGGACUGAGAUAACCCCGGGAAACUGGGGCUAAUAUUAGAUAGAUAAAAGAUACUGGAAUGUUCUUUUAUCCAAAGCUUUUGCGCCUGAGGAUGGGCCUGCGCCCGAUUAGGUUGUUGGUGGGGUAAUGGCCCACCAAGCCUACGAUCGGUACGGGCAGUGGGAGCUGAAGCCCGGAGUUGGGGACUGAGACAAGGCCCCAGGCCCUACGGGGCGCAGCAGGCGCGAAACCUCUGCAAUGCGGGAAACCGUGACAGGGGGAUUCCAAGUGCUCAUGCAUUGCAUGGGCUGUUCUUUGGUCUAAGUAACCAGAGGAGUAAGGGCUGGGCAAGACCGGUGCCAGCCGCCGCGGUAAUAC
rnacentral:rRNA from 2 species